rnacentral:rRNA from 1 species
UACGUAGGCAGCGAGCGUUGUUCGGAAUUACUGGGUUUAAAGGGUGCGUAGGCGGGUUAUUAAGUCAGUGGUGAAAGCUCCAUGCUCAACAUGGAAAUUGCCAUUGAUACUGAUGACCUUGAGUACACUUGAAGUGGGCGGAAUAUGUCAUGUAGAGGUGAAAUUCUUAGAGAUGACAUAGAACACCGAUUGCGAAGGCAGCUCACUAAAUUGUAACUGACGCUGAGGCACGAAAGCGUGGGGAUCAAACAGG